UGGCGAACGGGUGAGUAACACGUGGGUGAUCUGCCUUGCACUCUGGGAUAAGCUUGGGAAACUGGGUCUAAUACCGGAUAGGAACCGUCUUUAGUGUGGUGGUUGGAAAGUUUUUUCGGUGCAAGAUGAGCUCGCGGCCUAUCAGCUUGUUGGUGGGGUAAUGGCCUACCAAGGCGUCGACGGGUAGCCGGCCUGAGAGGGUGUACGGCCACAUUGGGACUUAGAUACGGCCCAG
rnacentral:rRNA from 1 species